rnacentral:rRNA from 1 species
AGAGAGAGACAUGCGCGCAUAUCAAUAAGCGGAGGAAAAGAAACUAACAAGGAUUCCCUCAGUAACGGCGAGUGAAGCGGGAAGAGCUCAAAUUUGAAAUCUUCAAGGUUCUACCUUGACGAAUUGUAGUUUAAAGAAGUGUUUUCUGUUGAAGUUUUGGUAAAAGUUCUUUGGAAUAGGACAUCAUAGAGGGUGAGAAUCCCGUAUUUGACCAUUAUUUUCAGCUUUGUGAUACACUUUCAAAGAGUCGGAUUGUUUGGGAAUGCAGUCCAAAAUGGGUGGUAAAUUUCAUCCUAAAGCUAAAUAUUGGCGAGAGACCGAUAGCGAACAAGUACCGUGAGGGAAAGAUGAAAAGAACUUUGAAAAGAGAGUUAAACAGUACGUGAAAUUGUCAAAGGGGAAGCGUUGACACCAGUGUUGUUUUCUCGAAAAUCAAUUAAAAAUGGCUCGAUUUUGUAUUGUUGAGACCUUAAAAGCUCACUGUACAUUUUUCGUGUCUUUUUUAAUGCACUUUUCGUUUAACAAGUCAACAUCAGUUUCUUUUGUUGUAAAAGGGUCAUUGGAAGGUGGCUUUCUUUUCGGAGAAAGUGUUUAUAGCCUUUGGCCUCUGCAAUCGGAGAGACUGAGGUCUGCAGCGUAGACUCUUCGGGGUUAGAUACAUUUGUGCUAAGUUAUAGCUUUUUAUAGACAACUUGUUGACUAUAAUUAGUCUUGUAGCUUACUCGCUUAUGCUAUUUUACCUACGCUUAGGAUGUUGAGUCGUAGAGCACGCAG